ACGAACGCUGGCGGCGUGCUUAACACAUGCAAGUCGAACGGAAAGGCCCCUUUGGGGGUACUCGAGUGGCGAACGGGUGAGUAACACGUGAGUAACCUGCCCUUGACUUCGGGAUAACUUCAGGAAACUGGGGCUAAUACCGGAUAGGAAUCCUUGCUGCAUGGUGGGGGUUGGAAAGCUUCGGCGGUUUUGGAUGGACUCGCGGCUUAUCAGCUUGUUGGUGGGGUAGUGGCUUACCAAGGCUUUGACGGGUAGCCGGCCUGAGAGGGCGACCGGCCACAUUGGGACUGAGAUACGGCCCAGACUCCUACGGGAGGCAGCAGUGGGGAAUAUUGCACAAGGGGCGGAAGCCUGAUGCAGCAACGCCGCGGGCGGGAGGACGGCCUUCGGGUUGUAAACCGCUUUCAGCAGGGGCGAAGCUUGUGGUGACGGUACCUGCAGAAGAAGCACCGGCUAACUACGUG
rnacentral:rRNA from 1 species